AAAUGAAUCUAUCCCUGAAUGCUCAGCCACUUCUGAGCCACUGAAAUGGCGACCCGUGACUGACUGCUAAUCAAAGUGUAAACACAACAACAACCACAACAGCAACAGCAACAUCAAUAACAAUAACAAAAGUCAUUUCACUGGGCUACAACAGCACAUGGAAGCCAUAUAAAAUAUGCAAUUUACUAUAUACUCGUUGUUGAGUGUGAGUACAAUGAAUUUGAUUCAUUUAAAAUUCAAUGUUAACUAGUUUGUGCAUGGGAACGAAACGGGCCCUGAGGCAAGGGGAUUGCAAAAUAUGGCAAGCUUAUAUUACAAUUGUUGUUAGAACCGCCUGGGUGGAACCACAAAAAACAACACUACAAUUAUACUAAGUAGGUGCUUAAGGGAAGGUGACAUAACUACAAAUUACUUUCGAGUCAUCUCAGAAAAGUUGCAUUUCUCUUCGACAGAUAUUGUGAUAAUCAAUAAAAUUUAAUGAUUAUUUCUAUGAACAAAAAAACAAAAGCUUGUUUUCCAGACUAUUUUUCAAGUGGUUACGUAUACUUAAUAUAUGCAACCUGCAGAAAUAUUUUCAACUGUCUUUUCAAAACUCUUCAGCAGGCAAUGUUACAUUAAGGUCAUAAGGAUGGCAGACUGAGCAAAACUCGUUGCAUUUGUGAGCCAACGGCCUGCAAAUGUAGCAAGAAGAAGCAACAACAACAACAACAACAGCGACAGCAGAGCUUGUUGCUUUCACAAUUGCGGCGACGAGGUGCUGAUAACUUAUCAAGCAUUAUAUUAUUUUAGUACUAUGUAUAUGCAAAGCAAAUAAAAAAUAGAGCAAAAACAAAUACUUGUACUCGUAUGUACACAUACUGUCAAAGCUAACAGAGGGUGUGUAUUUAAAAAUGUUCCGCGUUUACGACAUUCGCUUUAAAGCUCUUUAUAUAUGUGCUCACAUAUGUACAGACAUAUAUAAUUCAUGUAUUUGCACAGAUUGUGAAGAGUACUAAUUUUAACUGGUUGCUGAAGUUAUCUACGAAGUGCAGUGGAAAAAUCAACGCAACAAAAUACUUGGAAACGAAGAAACCAAACCAAAUAAAAAGAAUUAAUUUAAAUCAUUCGAGAUUGUGCCAUAUCUGAAAGGUUGACAAGGCCACGACGUUGCACACUCUUUGCGGGUUAUCAAAAGGUUCUGUUAUCCCCAAUUAAUACACACGAUAUGGCGCCGUAUAUUAUUGAUAUUGAAUUUCAAGUUGAUUGCGAAACAUUUAGCUUCAAUAAUACACUGCACUGUAAUAAGUGCUUUCAGCCAUUAAAUACUUGGCUCUGGUUUUAGCAAAUACUUGUAGUAGUAUAUUGUAGUAUUCAAACUUCAGGUUAGCGUCUAAACAACUAUUUAUUUCUAUCUGGACUUUGGAAUUGUGAUUCAAGAGGAUUCAAACUAUGUUUCUAUAGUUGUGUUUACUCAUUGGAAAAGCACUCUGUAAAUUGCGUAUUAUUCCUCUAUGGGGAACAUUCUCAAUUAGACCCGCUAUGAGAAAAUCGGAAAAUACUCUAACAGAAAACAGGAGCGGACUAAGAUGAACCUUGAAAAGAGACACAAAACAUAAAUAACGCAAUUGAUUCUAUAAAGCUGCACCCCUAUUUCAUUGUGCUUUAUUACCGAUAUAAAUAAUUUUAUAUUUGUUCACAAUUACAAUUACGACACCAAUAAAUACCACAAAUAGAAAUUCUGAGAAUGAAAUCUAUUAUGAAAUAUAGUCAAACUCGAUAAAGAAUUAAAUAUGCCUCGAAAGCGCAUACAUAAUGAAAUCUCAAUUUAGAUAAAGACCCCAAUCGAACUAGCACAAAAAUGAUAAAAUAAAUUCCGUAUUUUUCAAUUUUUGUUCUUCAAACUAGUAAAGAUCAACUCCAAAUUAGUUGUCUUAACGAGAUCAAAAGCUGGCACCUAUUGAAAUCCGCUCCUGUUUGUCGUACGAUGAUGUAAAGUGUAAGUCGUAUUUAUAGCAAGGUCAAUUAAUAAUUAACAAAUAGACAACUUUAAGUUGAGGGACGGUCAGUUAUGUGAACACUCAAAAUGUGUCAGAAGUAGUUGUUUAUUUUAAACUGAACAACAAAAUUAAACAAGCCAAAAAAAAGCCUUAUCUUAACUCGUGUUUUUAGGAGUACUUUUUUAUAAGCCCCUCGAGUAUGACAAAUUUAGAACUUUACGGUUAAAUCUAAUCACAUGAUGUUCCUUUACAACAUCCAUCUAAAAAGGGUGAGGUAAUAAAAUGUUAAAGCGUAUUACAUUUCAAGUACGUUGCCUUCUCAAAUGAUUCUUUGUUUUUAUGGCCUGAACUUUUUAUCUAUUGUUCAGAAAACGUGUCGUUACCUUUCAUAUAUAAGUCGUAAAUAUUAAGCAAAAUGCGCAUCGACAAAAGAUAAAAAGAAAAGCAAAAAGUAAAUGUGAUAAAUGAGGACAUUUGAGAGAGAUAACUAUAGCGCAAACUUGAGGGAAACUUUUAAAAUAUUGAGAUUAUUUUAAUGAUAUUUAUAAGCUUUAAACAAUCUUAUUUUUUUUUCGUAAAUAAAAACAAUUUUUAAUAGCAGGCCAUGAGUAUAAAUUAACCAAAAGAUAAGCACAGCGGACCGGGUUAUAAAGGUUGUAUACUAUCUGUGGAUCUCAAGAACUUAUCUCGACGAUAAGCUAAAGGAAAAACUGGGAAAUUCUUCAGGAAUGUGUUCACAUCAACAAAUAUAAAGAAAGAUUAUCGUUACCAUUUAAAGGAUUAUUCAUCAUUUAUUUAUAUUAACCAAAUUAUUCAGACUUUAUAUAUCAUUUAAUAAAUUUUUAGACAAAUCAUUCCAAAGGGAAUUAACGUGCUUAACUUUGCAUUAUAAAAUUGUUCGAUAAUCAUAUCACUGGGUGACGACAGCAUUAAAAGCAAAUAGAUGACAUUCAAUCUGGGAUAUAGCAAAGUCCAAAAAAAUUAUAAAUACUUGAGUAUCGAUAAGCAACGGCAUUCAAGAGAUUAUCUUUCAUAAUUACAAUGAUAUUAAGCAAAACAGUUAAAACGUGUGAUGCAAACGAAUUAAAGCAUUUUUAGUUUAAUAAAUACUAUGAAGAGAGAACGGAAUAAACAUUGCAUAUAUACAGAAAAUGUAUAUAUAGUACAUAUAUUAAUAGGGAAUAAAUAAGAUUUAUCAACUUGGGAGAUACUUUCACACCUCAGUCUAAAGACCACAAAUAAUAAUUAUAACAUCAUAAAUAAUGAUAGGCAAUAGCAUUCAAGUGAUUAUCUUUCAUAUUAUAGCAAUUAACACGUGUAAUGCAAAUGAGUUAAUGCAAUUUUAGUGAUAUGAAUUCCAUAAGAACUGAAUAAACAUUAAAUAAACGAUAUUUGCUUAUCUUUUGAUAUAUUAUAUAUAAUUUUAGAUAUAUUCCAUUGGGAAUAAACAAAAUUGCUCAACUUGAGAGAAACCCAAGUCCAAAGACCACUUUUGAAUAAAUAAUAUUUCUAACAUCGUAAAAUCCGAUAAGUAAUAGCAUUCAAGCGAUUAUCUUUUAUAUUUCAUUGAUAGUAAGAAAAGCAUUUAACACGUAUAAUGCAACUGAGUUUAUACAACGUGUUUGUAAACGAGAUUUCAGAAUUUAGAAAAUAUAAAAUAUUAGAUAAAAGUAUUCCACUGGGAAGAAGACUGAAUAAACAGGAAAUAACCAAGAUUGCUCAACUUUGAAGAUAAUCAGGUCUAAAUAUACAUUCCCACUAAGAGAAGUAUACAACACGUGUGAAGCAGACUUAAUAAACAAUUUAAUAAAGUUAAUAACUGUCAUAAAAGAAAGACUAAGUAAGCAGUGAUUAACAAGAUUAACUUUGGAGCAAUCUAUGUAGGUCUAAAGAGCACUGACUACUUUCAAAUAAACAAUAUUGCAUUUAAGGGAUUGCUCAUCACAUUAUAUUUGAACGUUAACCAUUUGUCACGUUCGAGUUAGACCUAACAAACAAUUCAAUAAAUAUACAUAUAAAUAUAUAAAUGAAUAUACAUAUAUGUAUA